AGUGGGGAAUUUUGGACAAUGGGGGCAACCCUGAUCCAGCCAUUCCGCGUGAGUGAAGAAGGCCUUCGGGUUGUAAAGCUCUUUUGUCCGGAACGAAACGGUUAGGGUGAAUACCCCUGACUACUGACGGUACCGGAAGAAUAAGCACCGGCUAACUACGUGCCAGCAGCCGCGGUAAUACGUAGGGUGCAAGCGUUAAUCGGAAUUACUGGGCGUAAAGCGUGCGCAGGCGGUUUUGUAAGCCAGAUGUGAAAUCCCCGGGCUUAACCUGGGAAUGGCAUUUGGGACUGCAAGGCUUGAGUUUGGCAGAGGAGACUGGAAUUCCUGGUGUAGCAGUGAAAUGCGUAGAUAUCAGGAGGAAUACCGAUGGCGAAGGCAGGUCUCUGGGCUGAAACUGACGCUCAUGCACGAAAGCGUGGGGAGCAAACAGGAUUAGAUACCCUGGUAGUCCACGCCCUAAACGAUGUCGACUGGUUGUUGGGGGUUUGACACUCUCAGUAACGAAGCUAACGCGUGAAGUCGACCGCCUGGGGAGUACGGCCGC
rnacentral:rRNA from 1 species